GAAAUGCGAUACGUAAUGUGAAUUGCAGAAUUUUGUGAAUCAUCGAAUCUUUGAACGCACAUUGCGCCUUUUGGUAUUCCAGAAGGCAUGCCUGUUUGAGCGUCAUUUCUCUCUCACUAACGUGGUUUUGUUGUAUCUUUCUCUCUUUUGAAAAAGUGCAAUGAAAGGAAAUGGCAGUACUUCAAAGUUGCUUUACAGUGUUUUAGGUUCUACCAACUACACUAUUACAAGGCUCUUUGGUAAAGUUGGCUUGAAAACUUUCUUUCAAUGUUGACCUCAAAUCAGGUAAGAUUACCCGCUGAACUUAA
rnacentral:rRNA from 1 species